rnacentral:rRNA from 1 species
UACAGAGGGGGCAAGCGUUGUUCGGAAUUACUGGGCGUAAAGGGCUCGUAGGCGGCCAACUAAGUCAGACGUGAAAUCCCUCGGCUUAACCGGGGAACUGCGUCUGAUACUGGAUGGCUUGAGUUUGGGAGAGGGAUGCGGAAUUCCAGGUGUAGCGGUGAAAUGCGUAGAUAUCUGGAGGAACACCGGUGGCGGAGGCGGCAUCCUGGACCAACACUGACGCUGAGUGAGCGAAAGCCAGGGGAGCAAACGGG